GAUUCUGGCUCAGGAUGAACGCUGGCGGCGUGCCUAAUACAUGCAAGUCGUACGAGGGAAGUCCAGCUUGCUGGACGGAACGAGUGGCGAACGGGUGAGUAAUACGUAAGCAACCUGCCUGCAAGGACUGGGAUAACACCUGGAAACGGGCGCUAAUACCGGAUAGGUAACAAAGGGGCAUCCCUAUGUUAUUAAAGGUUAGAAACACAAGCAGAUGGGCUUACGGUGCAUUAGCUAGUUGGUGAGGUAACGGCCCACCAAGGCGAUGAUGCAUAGCCGGCCUGAGAGGGUGAACGGCCACAUUGGGACUGAGACACGGCCCAGACUCCUACGGGAGGCAGCAGUAGGGAAUUUUCGGCAAUGGACGAAAGUCUGACCGAGCAACGCCGCGUGAGUGAAGAAGGUUUUCGGAUUGUAAAGCUCUGUUGUAAGGGAAGAACAGCACGGAAAGAAUCCGUGAAUGACGGUACCUUACCAGAAAGCCACGGCUAACUACGUGCCAGCCGCUGC
rnacentral:rRNA from 1 species